GAAAGAAAGAGUGAGAACCUUGAUGAAAAUAGUCGGUUAGAGAGAGACGUUUAGUCUGUUUGUGUUUGCCGACUGCUUUGAUGUGAUGUUAUGUGAAAUUACGUGACUGAUUGAUUAUGUGAUUUCUGUUACGUGUGUCAUUAUGACCAAAUUAUUGUGAUUUUUAUUUGAGACUUUAGCACUUGGAAUUUUGAUUAAGUUUCCAAAGCAAGUGCGGUUUAUUUUUACCGAGAAAUCGAAUGAUGCCGGUUUAUGGAAAUUUUUCCAAGCAUAAUAUUUUUAAAUUAUUUUUCCUAUGAUGAGGAAUAUUAUAAUUGAGUGAGUGCACUAAUAUUAGUGCUAUAAUUAUUUUAUUUUGGGUCACAUGAAUAAUUAUACUAUGGUACUUUAUUAAUGAGUAAUAUUUCCAUAGUUUUUGUGAUUAUUAUUUAAUCACCCUUCUCACACUUUAUUUUAAUUCUCUCUACCAUAUGUUAUAUGCCUAAAUUUUGCUAAGUAUAGAAUUGAGAGAGUAGAGAGUUGAGAGUAUAUUAUGGAGAGAGUAAGGAUUGAUAGUGUAGAGAUUAGAGAGAGAUUAGAGUGAGAGAGAGAUCAAAGGCAUUAAUUGCCAAUAUUCUUUAAGAUUUGCAAAAUCUCUAUAAGAUCAUCUAAAUCUUGCAAAUCCAUUCAUAUCUCUCAAGCAACUCUCUCUCUCCUUCAUCCUCACCAAUCGGCCACCUCUCUCUCUCCUUUCUCUCUCAUAAUUCCUCCAUUGUCAACCAUUGGAGAGACCUCCGAAGCUUCACCAAAAUAUGCCAAACACAUAAAUCACCAACAAAAUUCCACCUAAACACCUCCUAUCAACUUGAAUCCAAGGAAAUCCUUGAAGAUGGGCUUCAAGACUAGUGAGAGAAAGUUUGUUUGUUGGUGAAAAACUUGAACACGAGCAGAGCAGGGAAGUAAGUAACUCCGCUUUGACGGGAGUUUUUGAGUAAGGUCUUCAGACUAAGCGAGGAGCGAGAUUGGUCUGGUGCUGGCGGGGAAAUGUUGGAGGAUGUAUUUACUUUAUCGUAUUUCCAUUUUGACGAUAAAGUCUUGAUGAUUGAUAUACUUUAAUUUUCUUUUGAAGUUAAGCAAUGUACUCACGGUUAUAUGUCUUCAUACAUAUAAUCGGUUCGCCUUUUGCUGCGAUACUCUGCAUAUUAUGAUUCCUUACGAAAAAUGAGCGAUACCCGUUUUGUUUUUGUU